ensembl:lncRNA
CUUUCAUCCCUUUGUUGCUACCUCAAAGGGCUUAGGGAAAAGUAGAGAAGCAACAGUAGAAGCUUCAGAAGCCACUUUCUUACUCUCCUCCACUCUGUCCUCUUGGGGCGUAAAGCAGAUGUAUGAAACCCAAACACUCCUCUACCCCUCCUGGGACUCAGGUAUUUUUUAUGCACAAGAGCAGGUCAGACUUUGGGGCUGGGGGAGGAAGCACUCGAUUUCUGCCACACAGAGGAGUUAAAAGGAAUGAGCUGACAUUUUGUACUCUCUUGUGUCCAGGUUACUUGAACAGGCUUUUCUAGCCCUAAUUGAGAAGACCGUGAGAAAGGAGAGGUUCUGUGUUUGGCAGGUUUGCCCAGCUGCAUCCUGCAGAAUUGGCCCGCAUGCAGCCAUCUGACUGUGGCAAACAAGAUGCUUAAGGCAAAAAAAGAGGAGUGCAAAUAAAUACUAUGCCUCUAGGCAGUCUGCAGCUUGAGGGGAAAAAUUCUAUCAGAAGGCUAAUGCGUGCCUUUCACUGUGUUUCCUUCUCUUUGUGAACUAAUAGGAAAAUCUUCUCCCCAAGGAAGGAAGGCAUAAAUGAGCUCUGCCCAUGUUAAAGCCGGUGUGAAUCUUGCCCAGACUUUGAAAUGCCAGAGUUGAACUCCAGGACAUCACUGAGCAGCAAGCUGAAUGAAAGUGUUGAAUCACUUAAUGAAAAACACACAAACAGUAAGACUAGCAUUCUGACUCAAGAGAAGAAAGAAAAGACGACUUCGUUUGACAUGUGGUAUUACAUUCCGGUGCACCGCCACACGACUGGGUUCAUCACCACCAGCUGCGGGGGUAGCCAAUAUAUUGCCUGGUUGUGUGGCUGAUGGCAGGCGGACACUGAAGACAGACAAUUUUUGGCCCCAGAAUUUUAAGAAGUAGCUAUCUCAUGCUUAAUUUUCUUAGAGUAGUUCACAUCUCUGAAAUCGAUUUAUGUGAGAUUUAGCAUAUCCAACAAGGGAGGUAGAAUAACUUGCCCUAAGGUGCUGGGCCCUGUAAAGACAAACAAAAGAACAUCUGUGAAGGUGUAUGGAAAGAUGGGUAUUUGUACAAACAGGGAAGUAAAUAAGAAAAGGCUAAAAUCCUAGAAAAUGGGAACUUCCAGGAAAAGCGCUAGAAUAAUUCAGGCUGGAGUAAAAUUGGCUAUGGAAUUUUAAUAAUAGCUAACAUUUCUAUAGCACUUUAAGGUUUUCAAAGUGCUUUACAAAUAUCUCGUUUUAUGCUCACAACAACCCUGGGAGGUAGAUACUAUUAUUGUCCCCGUGUUAUAGAUGAGGUAAUGGAAAGAGACAGAGAUUAAGCUUUUAUCCAAGAUAGAACUAGCGUCAGAGAGUGGCUUUGGACUUAAUGUCUUCCUGAUCCUAAGCCUAGCCUUUUCAGUAUAUUAUUAAUCUUUUACAUAUCACUGUGUUGGUUGACUUCUCUCAUUCUAACUCAUUCCAAGAGAAUAGGAAGGCAUCUCAGAACCUAUCUAGUACAACUAGAGCCUCUUUGUGACAUGCCCAACAUACUUAAGAAGUGGUGAUCUAGCCUUUGCCUGUAGACUUCCAUUUAGGAGGAAACUCCUUUCUUCAGAGGCAUUCCACUUUCAAAAAGCUCUAAUUGCUAUAAAGGGGCAUCUAGGUGGUUCAGUGGAGAGCAGGCCAGCCCAGGGGUCAGGAGGACCUGAGUUCAAGUCUGGCCUCAGAUACUAUCUGUGUCUUGGGGAAGUCACUUAACUUCUAUCUGCCUCAGUUUCCUCAUCUGUAAAAUGAGUUGGAGAAGGAAAUGGCAAACCUCUCUAGCAUCUUUGCCAAGAAAACCUCAAAUAAGAUCAAGAAGAGUCAG